UCACCAACUCCGAGGACAGUUGAAGCUGGGAGGUGCCACUGGCCACCUUUGUCACCACUGAGAGAAGCAUGCCUGGUGUUGAAGCCAACACAGAGUUGAAGAAACGGAUGCCCAAAGAAAGGAAUGGGUUGGCCUGUGGCACCCAGCCAGCAACUGACAGAGCCAGGAUUUGAAACAGAUUCACCCCGAAGGACAGAACCCAGAGUCUGCAUGUUCAGAAAGAUGACACAGCCAAGUUCCCCAAUAUCCACGACAGCCCUCUCUACGGUUCCUAAGGCUCAUUAAGAUGGAAGAGCAAGACUCCAGCUUUUGGACAGAUUCCCAACAAGAAAAUUUAGAGGAGAGGUGAAGCUUCUCAGAGGGUGCAACGUCUCUGUUUCCAUGAGCACCAGAUGGAGGGGCUGGAGCUGGCUUCCCUCGAGGUGAUGCUGAGGAAAUGACACAGGGAGUUCACUCAUGAAAAGUCCCGGGGACAUCAACUGAGGAAAAAGCCACAUGUUUCUCAAUACAUUCCCGUUAGUACAGAGGGUGGCAGAUCCAGCCACUCCUCUC
rnacentral:lncRNA from 1 species